GACGAACGCUGGCGGCGUGCCUAAUACAUGCAAGUUGAGCGAUGAAGAUUGGUGCUUGCACCAAUUUGAAGAGCAGCGAACGGGUGAGUAACGCGUGGGGAAUCUGCCUUUGAGCGGGGGGCAACAUUUGGAAACGAAUGCUAAUACCGCAUAACAACUUUAAACAUAAGUUUUAAGUUUGAAAGAUGCAAUUGCAUCACUCAAAGAUGAUCCCGCGUUGUAUUAGCUAGUUGGUGAGGUAAAGGCUCACCAAGGCGAUGAUACAUAGCCGACAUGAGAGGGUGAUCGGCCACAUUGGGACUGAGACACGGCCCAAACUCCUACGGGAGGCAGCAGUAGGGAAUCUUCGGCAAUGGACGAAAGUCUGACCGAGCAACGCCGCGUGAGUGAAGAAGGUUUUCGGAUCGUAAAACUCUGUUGGUAGAGAAGAACGUUGGUGAGAGUGGAAAGCUCAUCAAGUGACGGUAACUACCCAGAAAGGGACGGCUAACUACGUG
rnacentral:rRNA from 1 species